GGGUUAAGUCCGUAACGAGCGCAACCCUUGUCCUUAGUUACCAGCACGUUAUGUGGGCACUCUAAGGAGACUGCCGGUGACAACCGGAGGAAGGUGGGGAUGACGUCAAGUCAUCAUGGCCCUUACGGCCUGGGCUACACACGUGCUACAAUGGUCGGUACAAAGGGUUGCCAAGCCGCGAGGUGGAGCUAAUCCCAUAAAACCGAUCGUAGUCCGGAUCGCAGUCUGCAACUCGACUGCGUGAAGUCGGAAUCGCUAGUAAUCGUGAAUCAGAAUGUCACGGUGAAUACGUUCCCGGGCCUU
rnacentral:rRNA from 1 species